GACGGAGGGCGCGAGCGUUGUUCGGAAUUACUGGGCGUAAAGCGCGCGCAGGCGGGCUCGUGAGUCGGGGGUGAAAGGCCGGGGCUCAACCCCGGACGGUCUCCCGAUACUGCGAGUCUGGGGACCGGUAGGGGCAGGUAGAAUUCCCGGUGUAGCGGUGAAAUGUGUAGAGAUCGGGAGGAACACCGGUGGCGAAGGCGGGUCUCUGGGCCGAAACUGACGCUGAGGAGCGAAAGCUAGGGGAGCAAACGGG
rnacentral:rRNA from 1 species